GAACAGACAGCACGUAAACACGUAAAAAGAGAACGAAUGUUGGCAAACUGUCAAAAAAUCAAAGAUAAAUACACAAAUAGUGUACGGUGAUCUGAAUGAUUGAUUUGUGAAUCUUUGGCCGGAAUGAGACGUGAAAGUGUACGAUCGAGGAUUUUACGUAAAUAAUUGAUCUACCACAACGAUAAUCAGGUACUUUGUCGGGCACUGAAGAAAUUAUAUUUGAUCGGAAACUAUUACUAAGUUGCAAAAGAAUCUACGUCUACGUCGUAAUAACAGCUUUCGUCGUGUUUUAAGAAAUGGCAAAACCAAAGGUCGAGUACGAAAACUUUUUUAUUAGUAGCUGUUUUAUAUAAUACAUCCAGUUCUAAGAGAUUUUGUCGUCGUCAUGCGUAAACCUAAACAAAACAUUAUCGAAUGUUCACCUUCGCUUGAUGUCAAGAACUCUCUUUAUUCAUUCUUAUACGAUAUUUCCUACAGAUAACAUUAUCGGUAAACUCUUCGUUC